AUCGAACGCUGGCGGCAGGCUUAACACAUGCAAGUCGAGCGAGCGGCGGACGGGUGAGUAAUGACUGGGAAACUGCCUGAUGGAGGGGGAUAACUACUGGAAACGGUAGCUAAUAUCGCAAACCAUCAGAUGUGCCCAGAUGGGAUUAGCUAGUAGGUGGGGUAAUGGCGCACGUAGGCGGCGAUGCCUAGCUGGUGUGAGAGGAGGACCAGCCACACUGGAACGGAGACACGGUCCAGAGGCCUACGGUAGGCAGCAGUGGGGAAUAUUGCACAAUGGGCGCGAGCCUGAUGCAGCCAUGCCGCGUGUGUGAAGAAGGCCCUCGGGUUGUAAAGCACUUUCAGCGAGGAGGCGGUACUCGCAGAAGAAGCACCGGCUAACUCCGUGCCAGCAGCCGCGGUAAUAC
rnacentral:rRNA from 1 species